UCAAGCCUUCAACACCAAGUUUCUAUGGGCCAUCAACUUCCACCUCAAGCUCGUAGACAUUGGCAUCAAAAGGUUCCUCGAGCUGUGUUUGGAAUCAUGUUUAAUGUUUAGAACUAGCCAUGCUUGUACAUGUAAGGUCAAGAAUCAUAUGUAUGCCAUCGCCAAAAGUUGGAGGCAAUGGCAUGUACAGGAUACUUGGGCAUAGAUGUACUGCAACAGUAGUAGGAGAGAGACGUCGGCAGGGCAGUAUCGUGAGCAAGCAAAUUCAUGAGUGGCUCUAGGAUACCAAGGAUCAUAUUGUGGGAUCAACUGUUGGUGUUUAGAAGCUCGAUGAAUUGACCUUUGAAUUAAC